UGAAAUAGUAUACAUGUUGCUAGCUCCUCUUAUUAUUUAUUUUUUGCGUAUUCUCUCAAUCU
rnacentral:sRNA from 1 species